AAUGUGUCUCUUGCAUUGGAUAACUUUACUCACCUCAACGCUGAACCGACUCCACAAGCCCUAGACUCACUUUCAAGAACUCUACAACUCACGUUUCUCAGUAUUAUUUAUAAUUUUAAAAAUACUUGCAGGGUUUUGUCUUCCCUUGCACAUUGGUUGUUUGUCAAUCUUUGUGUUUAGUUUUACACUGAUCCUAUCGUGCUUCUUUGUAUUUAUUAAGAGACAGAAUGGAGUAUGCCUUCCAGCCCGUUGAGCUGCCCCGCCCGAUUUAACCCUUGCCUAAUCACAGCACAGUUUACAAUGGCCAAUUAACCUACUACCCGGUACAUCUUGCGACUGGGGGAGGAAAUCGGGGCACCCGGAGGAACCCACGUAUUCUACGGGGAGGACGUACAGACUCCUUACAGAGGAGUCAAGAGGAGCAUAAUAGCGUCAGGCUAACCGCUGUGAUAUCGCGGUGCUCAACAGGACGAAGCUCAGGACAGUCUACGGUGACCUAUGCGUGUUUUGAUAAUAGAACCACCCAAGAUUCUGCGUGGGCUUGGAAAGGGAGAUGCUGAGAAGAUGCUAGCAGUCUGGUGAGGGAAGUCUGGAACAACCUGAGAGCAUCAGGCUUUGGGGCAGAAGGUGCGAUGGGGACAGAGAGAGAAGACGCGAUGCAGUAAGCUGGGCGGCAGAACGGACCCCGAGCUGGAGUCCGAGUCCCAAGGUCUUCGGCGAGGAGAGGAGAUGGAGACAGACUUGUGUGGGGCGUCUGGUCGACUGCCGUGGGUGGUCCCAGGCGGCGGGUCGAGGAGGUUGGAGGGGAUCGAAUGGUGGAAAGAGGACUCUGUUAAUUGUGCACGAAGUGGAUGAACUUUGAUAAGUUUGGCGCCUUUUACUUUCCUUUUAUAUUUUAUCUCUAUUAAUUACAUAGUCCCAGUAAUAUCUAUAAAGUGUAAUCAUUUAAUCGCAUAUGGUGUAUUGUCCGUUAUUUGGCGGGGU